GUGUAGAUUUUAAAUUUACGAUCUUAGAAUGAUAAAAAUUAAAUCAAUUUUUAGUAAAAUUUUUUAUAAAAUUGAUAUGACAAAAAGAUCUUAAAAUAAAGUAGGUGAAGGAUGCACACCCCAAUUUAGAAUGUACAUGUAGUAUUGCUCUAAUAGAUAAUAAUACUGAAAUGUGAAUUAGAUAAAAAGUCAGUGUGCAUCCUUCACCUACUUUAUUUUAAGAUCUUUUUGUCAUAUCAAUUUUAUAAAAAAUUUUACUAAAAAUUGAUUUAAUUUUUAUCAUUCUANGUAGGUGAAGGAUGCACACCCCAAUUUAGAAUGUACAUGUAGUAUUGCUCUAAUAGAUAAUAAUACUGAAAUGUGAAUUAGAUAAAAAGUCAGUGUGCUGAUAAAUAAAUAAUAAAUUUGCAUAAGAAGUUAAGUAAAUAUUUUUUGAAAAAAAAAAUCUAAGAACAACUAAAAUUAAACUUGAAAGUCUAAGGAUUAAAAAAGAUUUGGCGAAGGUUUUGGGAUUAGCGCGCAAUUUGGUCCUAAGAGAUGUGAUCAUAGUUAGUUAAUUCGGAUUCGGUAAAUAUUCGGUACGGAUAUUAUACGCAUAAAAUACGUUUUCUAAUUUUUAAAUUCGUUGAAAAAUUCGGCUUAAAAAACAGAUUCGGUAUAAAUAUAAAAUAUAAGAUAUAAAUAUAAGAUAAUUUAUAUUUAAAAUAAAAAACAUAAUUUUUUUAUUCAUAUUUUCAAUAAUUCGGCAAUAAUUCGCGAAUAAUUCGCCAAUAAUUUGGCUUGCCCAAAAAUUUGCGAAUAAUUUUUUUUUUAAAAAAAAAAUUCGUAAACGGACCGUUUAGUUCAGAUUUUUAAUAAUUCGUGAAUAAUUUGCAAAUUUACUGGCUAGGGAUGUGAU
rnacentral:lncRNA from 1 species